AUGUAGGAGGUGGGGCAGAACCGUGGUGAUGAGCAGAGGUAGGAGGUGGAGCAGAACCGUGGUGAUGAGCAGAUGGAGGAGGUGGAGCAGAACCGCGGUGAUUGAUAAGCAGAUGGAGGAGUGGAGCAGAACCGUGGUGAUUGAUAAGCAGAUGUAGGAGGUGGAGCAGAACCGCGGUGAUGAGCAGAUGUAGGAGGUGGGGCAGAACCGUGGUGAUGAGCAGAGGUAGGAGGUGGAGCAGAACCGUGGUGAUGAGCAGAUGUAGGAGGUGGA
rnacentral:lncRNA from 1 species